rnacentral:rRNA from 1 species
AGUGAACGCUGGCGGUAGGCCUAACACAUGCAAGUCGAACGGCAGCACAGUAAGAGCUUGCUCUUACGGGUGGCGAGUGGCGGACGGGUGAGGAAUACAUCGGAAUCUACUUUUUCGUGGGGGAUAACGUAGGGAAACUUACGCUAAUACCGCAUACGACCUACGGGUGAAAGCAGGGGAUCUUCGGACCUUGCGCGAUUGAAUGAGCCGAUGUCGGAUUAGCUAGUUGGGGGGGUAAAGGCCCACCGAGGCGACGAUCCGUAGCUGGUCUGAGAGGAUGAUCAGCCACACUGGAACUGAGACACGGUCCAGACUCCUACGGGAGGCAGCAGUGGGGAAUAUUGGAGAAUGGGCGAAAGCCUGAUCCAGCCAUACCGCGUGGGUGAAGAAGGCCUUCGGGUUGUAAAGCCCUUUUGUUGGGAAAGAAAAGCAGCAGGUUAAUACCCCGCUGUUCUGACGGUACCCAAAGAAUAAGCACCGGCUAACUUCGUG